rnacentral:tmRNA from 1 species
UACGGAUUCGACAGGGGUAGUUCGAGCUUGGGUUGCGAGUCGAGGGGAUCGGCCUCGUUAAAACGUCAACGCCUAUAACUGGCAAAGAAAACAACAACUUCGCUUUAGCUGCUUAAUAACAGUCUAUAGCGGUUCCUCCCUCCAUCGCCCAUGUGGUAGGAUCAGGGACUCACUCUAAGUGGGCUACGCCGGAGUUCACCGUCUGAGGACAAAGGAAGAGAACAACCAGACUAGCUGCUCUCAAAGCCUGUCGAUAGGCCUAGAGGUAAGCGAAAUGCUAAUAUAUCGACUACACUCGUAGAUGCUUAAGUGCCGAUGCUUUUGGACGUGGGUUCGAUUA